rnacentral:rRNA from 1 species
CAGCAGCCGCGGGAAUACGAAGGGUGCAAGCGUUAAUCGGAAUUACUGGGCGUAAAGCGUGCGUAGGCGGUUUGUUAAGUCUGCUGUGAAAUCCCCGGGCUCAACCUGGGAAUGGCAGUGGAUACUGGCAAGCUAGAGUGUGUCAGAGGAUGGUGGAAUUCCCGGUGUAGCGGUGAAAUGCGUAGAGAUCGGAAGGAACAUCUGUGGCGAAGGCGACUAUCUGGGCCAACACUGACACUGAGGCACGAAAGCGUGGGGAGCAAACAGGAUUAGAUACCCCUGUAGUCCCUGUCUCUUAUAC